ncrna:unclassified sequences RAGATH-18 RNA
CCUUCGGAGUGCUAUACAAACGCUAGUAGCUUAUCCUUCGGGAUAGCGAGAGCGAGCACGAUGAACAAGGAA